UACGUAGGGGGCUAGCGUUGUCCGGAUUUAUUGGGCGUAAAGAGCGUGUAGGCGGCCAGAUAGGUCUGAUGUGAAAGCCCACGGCUCAACCGUGGAGGGUCAUUGGAAACUGGGGGACUUGAGUACAGAAGAGAAGAGUGGAAUUCCACGUGUAGCGGUGAAAUGCGUAGAGAUGUGGAGGAACACCAGUGGCGAAGGCGGGUCUCUGGGCCGAUACUGACGCUGAGGAGCGAAAGCGUGGGGAGCGAACAGG
rnacentral:rRNA from 1 species